UUUUCUAUGGGACCAGACAGGAAGAGAUGGAGGUGGUAAUGUUGUUUUCUAUGGGACCAGACAGGAAGAGAGGUGGUAAUGUUGUUUUCUAUGGGACCAGACAGGAAGAGAUGGUAAUGUUGUUUUCUAUGGGACCAGACAGGAAGAGAUGGUAAUGUUGUUUUCUAUGGGACCAGACAGGAAGAGAGAUGGUAAUGUUGUUUUCUAUGGGACCAGACAGGAAGAGAGAUGGUAAUGUUGUUUUCUAUGGGACCAGACAGGAAGAGAUGGUAAUGUUGUUUUCUAUGGGACCAGACAGGAAGAGAUGGUAAUGUUGUUUUCUAUGGUACCAGACAGGAAGAGAUGGUAAUGUUGUUUUCUUCUGUGAUGAAAUGUAAAGUGCCUUCGGAAAGUAUACAGACCCCUUGACUUUUUCCACAUUUUGUUACGUAACAACCUUAUUCUAAAAUUGAUUUUAAAAAAUUGUUUCCUCAAUCACAAUACCUCAUAAUGACAAAGAAAAAACGGGUUUUUAGACAUUUUUGCUAAUUUAUUCAAAAUAAACUGAAAUAUCAUACUUACACAAGUAUUCAGACCCUUUACUCAGCACUUUGUUGAAGCACCUUUAGCAGCGAUUACAGCCUCCAGUCUUCAUCGGUAUGAAGGUAACUUGGCACACCUGUAUUUGGGGAGUUUCUCCCAUUCUUCUCUGCAGAUCCAAGCUAUGUCAGGAUCGAUGGGGAGCGUCGCUGCACAGCUAUUUUCAGGUCUCCAGAGAUGUUCGAUCGGGUUGGUGCCAGAUUUCCUCCAGACGUGACACUUGGCAUUCUGGCUAAAGAGUUCAAUCUUGGUUUCAUCAGACCAGAGAAUCUUGUUUCUCAUGGUCAGAGUCCUUUCGGUGCAUUUUGGUAAACUCUAAUGUAAAUAUAAAUAAGGUAUUUCUGUUUUGUAUUUGUUUUUACAUUUGCCCAAAAUAAAAAUAAAAACAGUUUUUGCUUUGUCAUUAUGGGGUAUUGUGUGUAGAUUGCUGAGGAUUUUUAUUUAUUUAAUCAAUUUUUGAAUAAGGCUAUAACAUAACAAAAUGUGGAAAAAGUCCAGGUGUCUGAAUACAUUCCAAAGGCACUGUGUACUUCCUAAAUGUCACCCUGUUCCCUUUAUAGUACACUACUUUUGACCAGGGUAGUGCACUAUAAAAGGACUAGGGUGCCAUUUGGGAUAGACGAUAUACUGUAAUAUUUGUUGAAGGAAUGAUAUGAUUGGACUUUGUAAAAAUAAUUUCUUUUUGUAUCUGCUUCUUUUGUAGAAUCAACAUGU
ensembl:lncRNA